UACGUAGGUGGCAAGCGUUGUCCGGAUUUAUUGGGUUUAAAGGGUGCGUAGGCGGCUUUGUAAGUCAGUGGUGAAAUACGGUAGCUUAACUAUCGAGGUGCCAUUGAUACUGCGAGGCUUGAGUACAGAUGAGGUAGGCGGAAUUGACGGUGUAGCGGUGAAAUGCUUAGAUAUCGUCAAGAACACCUAUAGCGAAGGCAGCUUACUAGGCUGUAACUGACGCUGAGGCACGAAAGUGGGUGGG
rnacentral:rRNA from 1 species